ensembl:lncRNA
GGAUUCGCCCUUCCAUUGAGACAAAUGUGGCAAUGAAUUAACUCUUUCCUGCCCAACCUAUUAUGUGCUGAUUGCUGGUGGAAGUUAUCUCUGCUGAAGAUAUUUAACAUGUGUUCAACCAGGACUUCCCGUGGGCCUCAUGAAGAGUAUGAUCAGGUUGGAGAGACAAACAUUAAGUAAAAAAACAAAACAAAACAAAAAACAUACAUAAUUGUUAAUUAGGGAAAUACUAAAAAGGAAACCAAAUCGGUACAAUGGGAAAAGGACCAAAGUUAGAGUUCAGGAUGAUCUCUCCAAGGAAGGGUGAUUUAGGUUGCAGUAGAAGUAAUUCAGGCAAUGAAUGAAGACAAGCUAUUCCAUGUUGAAGGAAGAGCAUGUACAAAGCAAUGAGGCAGGAGAACAUGGCAGGUUGGAGGGACUGAAAGAAGGCCAGGGCAGUUGGAGGUUAAUGAGUAGGAGGCAGAGUCUUACAGAAAGGAAUAGGAUAUAAACAGCUGUUGAGGGCAUUUGGGGGAAUCAACAAAAGAUGAAUAAGUGCAUUGCCAAGGAGCAGUGUGGUCCCUUGAACUUCACACAAAUUAAUGCUGAUCCAAGUCAGCACCGUUUUGGAAUUUUCUCCAGCAAAAUCCUAUCACUCUGUCUGUCUUUCAGUUUUGCCUAUUAAGGAGACGUGGGGAAACCCAGCUUUACUCUUGGUGAUGGUCUCCCUGCUCCCUUCCCUCUGCAUUUCUCUCAUUUGUGCUGGAAGACCUACUUAACCCCCUUAAAUCAUAUGCUGGGAACACACUAUCCUAAGCAGAGAGAUUAUUGGAAAGCUGUCAAUAUGUCUUUGACUCUGAACUGAGCUGGCUUUGAUACUGAAUCCCAGCUUGUACCACUCACCACACAACAGACCAAAAAAUCAAGAGAAGCAUUGUGGGGGCAGGGAACAGCAACUUUAUUCGGAAAGCCAGCAGGCUGAGAAGAUGGUGGACUAAUGUCCCAAAGAACCCUCUUGCCUGAUUAGAAUCCAGGCUUCUUUUAUAUUGAAAGAGGAAGGAGUAAAGUCAAACAUUUCUUGGUUCUAGUCUGCAUCUGGAGGGGAUGUAUUCAUUUCUUCUUAUCUUCAGUCAUUCACAGGUGGACCUGGUCAGGAUGUUUCCUGUGAGCUAAACACAGACUGCAACCCACCAGGCUCCUCUGUCCAUGGGAUUAUACUGGAGUGGGUUGCCAUGCUCUACUCGAGAGGGCCUUCCCGACCCAGGGAUUGAACAUGCAUCUCUUAUGUCUCCAGCAUUGUCAGGAACGGUAUGCUGGGACUUCCCUGUGGUCCAGUGGUUAAGAAUCUGCCUGCCAAAGCAGUGGACACAGAUUUGAUUCCUGGUCUGGGAAGAUUCUACCUGGCUUGGGGGAACAAAGCCCUUGUGCCACCACUACUGAAGCCCAUGUGCCCUGAGCCCAUGCUCCACAGAAGAAGACACCGCAAUGAGAAGCCCAAGCACUGGAGUUAGAGAGUGCCCCUCCUCACCGCAACUGAGAAAAGCAUGCACACAGCAACAAAGGCUCAGCACAGCCAAAAUAAACUAAUAAAUAAUUUUUUAAACAUAAAUUUAUUUAUUUUAAUUGAAGGUUAAUUACUUUUUUUUUUUUUUAAUGCUAGAUAUGAUGCAGUGCUGCCUCAGGAACCCACAGAACCCCUCGUGUUUGCUGUGAAUGUCUUGCACUGACAAGAUGCAAUGACAAGAUAAAGCCAACCCAAUAUUACCCAUGAACCUUUGCAGGUUUCACUUAACUACAGAACCAGUAGAGGAAGACAAUCUGGUACUUUCUCAGUUUUCACCAGCUAUGUGUCCUGCUUGCCUUUGAAUAAAAAAUUUUGUCUGAUAGCCACAGUGACAUUUUGUCUUUGGGAGUUUAUUUUCUGUUCUGAAGGACAAAUAUAUCCUCAAACAUAUUUCAGCCAAUGCUUCCAAUUUCCUAUAUUUUGUGAACACUACAAUAGCUAUAUAAUAUCUAGUCAUGGAU